CCAGCAUUGGCCUAAUGGAUAAAGGCGUCUGACUUCCGAAUCAGAAGAUUGAGGGUUCGAGUCCCUUCGUGGUCGA